GACGGAGGAUGCAAGUGUUAUCCGGAAUCACUGGGCGUAAAGCGUCUGUAGGUGGUUUAGUAAGUCAACUGUUAAAUCUUGAAGCUCAACUUCAAAAUCGCAGUCGAAACUAUUAGACUAGAGUAUAGUAGGGGUAAAGGGAAUUUCCAGUGGAGCGGUGAAAUGCGUAGAGAUUGGAAAGAACACCGAUGGCGAAGGCACUUUACUGGGCUAUUACUGACACUCAGAGACGAAAGCUAGGGUAGCAAACAGG
rnacentral:rRNA from 1 species